rnacentral:piRNA from 1 species
CCUACUAACGGAAGAGCUACUGU